rnacentral:sRNA from 1 species
GGCCUAAACCACAUAGCAUAUGCGGCAUGGCAAAGGAGACCUAUGAAAGCAUUAAGCUCCUCGUCAGAGCGCUUUCAUAGGCUGUCUACCGAAAGGUAGGCAGGUGGCCGCAAGGUCAUC